UUUAUACUCCCUCCGUCCCCAAAUUUUUGUCUUAGAUUUGUCUAGAUACGGAUGUAUCUAAUACUAAAAUGUAACUAGAUACAUCCGUAUUUAGACAAAUCUAAGACAAGAAUUUUGGGACGGAGGGAGUAUUAC
rnacentral:pre_miRNA from 1 species